CUUGGUAAUUAUUGCGUUAUGGAACCACUCAAUACAUUCCGAACUUGCAAGUGAAACAUAAUUUGCGCUGAUUGUACUGCAUCCUAAGUUGUGGGAGAUUAAGUUGUUGCCAAGC
rnacentral:rRNA from 1 species